rnacentral:lncRNA from 1 species
GGUAGGACCUAAUGAUUCACAUUUACAGCUUGGUGAAAAUAUAAUUAGCUCAUCAUAUUAAAGAUUCGAACACGUAUGUGUCACUUUUCUUUUCGACAAUCUUUGUGACUUGCAAAGCAUAUUAUUCGUCUCCUUCAGAUUUUCCCAUGCUUAAGAAUCUGAAAAAGUUAAGUUUCACACAUGGCGACUCUUAUCUUUGUGAAAAUCUCCCUAAUUGACAAUAUUUUGCACUAAAAGAAUGAAAUUCUAGAAUUUCAAGAAUAACGAAGGUCUUUGGAAAUUACUUUUGGUUGCAAAUACGAAAACCUUACACAAUUCAGAAAGUGGAUCCAUAUUGUAGUCAUCUUUGCUGCCGUUGACGUCCUUAAUAAAUCCUUGCAAGAUCUUCUUUCGCGUAGUCCUUUUAUUCCUGCAGAUAUAUUGUUCUAAUA